ensembl:lncRNA
GGGAUCCUAUAGGGUCUGGGGGGGGCCCUAUAGGUAUUGGGGGGACCCUAUAGGGACUGGGGGUGGCCCUAUAGGGUUGGGGGGGGCUCUAUAGGAUCUGGGGGGGUCCUAUAGGGAUACAGGGGGGUCCUACAGGGAUAUGGGGGGCCCUACAGGAUUUGGGGGGGCCCUAUAGGACUUGGGGGGCCCUAUAGGAUUUGGGGGGCCCUAUAGGGUUGGGGGGCCCUAUAGGGUUGGGGGGGCUCUACAGGGACUUGGGGGGCCCUAUAGGAUUUGGGGGGCCCUAUAGGAUUUGGGGGGGCCCUAUAGGAUUUGGGGGGUUCUAUAGGGAUACGGAGUGGUGCUAUAGGGUUGGUGGGCCCUAUAGGGUCUGAGGUGGGCCUAUAGGAUUUGGGGGGCCCUAUAGGAUUUGGGGGGGGCCCUAUAAGGUUGGGGGGCCCUAUAGGAUUUAGGGGGGGGCCUAUAGGAUUGGGGGGGCCCUAUAGGAUUUGGGGGGCCCCUAUAGGAUUCCCCCACCUCCUGCAGGCUGACGCGGAUCUGCCCACUCCCAUCGCGGUCCAAAGACUUGAAGGCACCUGGAAAAGGGGGGGGGGGACCCCAAAAUUGAGGGGGGGGCGCACCCCAAAAUCGGGGGGCACCUCCCUGUGCCCCCCCCCCCCCUUUUCCCCCCCCCCAUCCCCGCUAUGCGGGGGGGGGGUCCCCAAAUCUGAGGGGUCCCCAAUAGCAGUGGGGGGGGGGGGGGGCCCGAAUAUCAGUGGGGGUCCCCAAUAAUCCGGGGGGGGGUCCCCAAAACUGGGGGGGGGUCCACAAUGACGGUGGGGGUCCCCAAAAUUGGGGGGGGGGCUGAAUAAACCUUUGGGGGGUCCUCAAUUGUUAUGGGGGGGGGGGGAAUAGCAGAAGGGGGUCCCCAAGAUUGAGGGGUCCCCAAUAAUCCGGGGGGGUCCCCAAAUGGGGGGGGGUCCCUAAAUGAGGGGGGGUCCCUAAAUGAGGGGGGGACCCCAAAUCUGGGGGGGCCCCCCUAUACCAGAGGGGGCCCUCAGUUGUUCUGGGGGGGUCCCCAAUAAUGUGGGGGGGGGUCCCCAAAUUAGGGGGUCCCCAAUAUCUGUGGGGGUCCCCAAUAAUAUGGAGGGGGGGGCCCCAAAAUAAGGGGGGGCCCCAAAAGCAGAGGGGUCCCCAAUAUCUGUGGGGGUCCCCAAUAAUCCGGGGGGGUCCCCAA